rnacentral:rRNA from 1 species
AGGCCUAACACAUGCAAGUCGAGCGGUAGAGAGAAGCUUGCUUCUCUUGAGAGCGGCGGACGGGUGAGUAAUACCUAGGAAUCUGCCUGAUAGUGGGGAUAACGUUCGGAAACGGACGCUAAUACCGCAUACGUCCUACGGGAGAAAGCAGGGGACCUUCGGGCCUUGCGCUAUCAGAUGAGCCUAGGUCGGAUUAGCUAGUUGGUGAGGUAAUGGGCUCACCAAGGCUACGAUCCGUAACUGGUCUGAGAGGAUGAUCAGUCACACUGGAACUGAGACACGGUCCAGACUCCUACGGGAGGCAGCAGUGGGGGAAUAUUGGACAAUGGGCGAAAGCCUGAUCCAGCCAUGCCGCGUGUGUGAAGAAGGUCUUCGGAUUGUAAAGCACUUUAAGUUGGGAGGAAGGGGCAUUAACCUAAUACGUUGGUGUCUUGACGUUACCGACAGAAUAAGCACCGGGCUAACUCUGUGCCCAGCAGCCGCGGGUAAAUA